GAUGAACGCUGGCGGCGUGCCUAAUACAUGCAGGUCGAGCGAACAGACGAGGAGCUUGCUCCUCUGACGUUAGCGGCGGACGGGUGAGUAACACGUGGAUAACCUACCUAUAAGACUGGGAUAACUUCGGGAAACCGGAGCUAAUACCGGAUAAUAUAUUGAACCGCAUGGUUCAAUAGUGAAAGACGGUUUUGCUGUCACUUAUAGAUGGAUCCGCGCCGCAUUAGCUAGUUGGUAAGGUAACGGCUUACCAAGGCAACGAUGCGUAGUCGACCUGAGAGGGUGAUCGGCCACACUGGAACUGAGACACGGUCCAGACUCCUACGGGAGGCAGCAGUAGGGAAUCUUCCGCAAUGGGCGAAAGCCUGACGGAGCAACGCCGCGUGAGUGAUGAAGGUCUUCGGAUCGUAAAACUCUGUUAUUAGGGAAGAACAAAUGUGUAAGUAACUAUGCACGUCUUGACGGUACCUAAUCAGAAAGCCACGGCUAACUACGUG
rnacentral:rRNA from 1 species